GACGAACGCUGGCGGCGUGCCUAAUACAUGCAAGUAGAACGCUGAAGAGAGGAUCUUGCUCGGCUUGGAUGAGGUGCGAACGGGUGAGUACCGCGUAGGUAACCUGCCUUGUAGCGGGGGAUAACUAUUGGAAACGAUAGCUAAUACCGCAUAACAAUGGAUGACACAUGUCAUUUAUGUGAAAGGGGCAAUUGCUCCACUACAAGAUGGACCUGCGUUGUAUUAGCUAGUAGGUGAGGUAACGGACCAACUAGGCGACGAUACAGAGCCUGCCUGAGAGGGUGGUCCGCCAACCCGGGACUUGGACACGGCCCCGACUCCUACCGGAGGCAGCCGUAGGGGAUCUUUGGCCAUUGGGGCAACGCUGACCGAGCAACGCCGCGUGAGGUAAGAAGGUUUUCGGAUCGUAAAGGUCUGUUGUAAGUCAAGAACGAGUGGGAGAGUGGAAAGUUCACACUGUGACGGUAGCUUAACAGAAAGGGACGGCUAACUACGUG
rnacentral:rRNA from 1 species